rnacentral:rRNA from 1 species
UAAAUUUCCAACGUCUAACACACAUCGUUUACGGCAUGGACUACGAGGGUAUCUAAUCCUCUUCGCUACCCAUGCUUUCGUUCCUCAGUGUCAGUAAUGAUCCAGAAAGCUGCCUUCGCAAUUGGUAUUCUUUCUAAUAUCUACGAAUUUCACCUCUACACUAGAAAUUCUGCUUUCCUCUAUCAUACUCUGGCUGAAAAGUUUUGAUGGCAGUUCCAGAGUUAAGCUCUGGGAUUUCACCACCAACUUUUUCAACCACCUACGAACUCUUUAAGCCCAGUAAUUCCGAACUACGCUAGGUCCCUUCGUAUUACCGCGGCUGCUGGCACGAAGUUAGCCGGGCCUUCUUAUUCGGGUACAGUCAUUUUCUUCCCCGACGAAAGAGCUUUACAACCCAAAGGCCUUCUUCACUCACGCGGCAUCGCUGCAUCAGAGUUUCCUCCAUUGUGCAAGAUUCCCCACUGCUGCCUCCCGUAGGAGUUUGGGCCGUGUCUCAGUCCCAAUGUGGCUGAUCAUCCUCUCAAAUCAGCUAUUGAUCAUAGUCUUGGUAGGCCAUUACCCUACCAACAAACUAAUCAAGUGCGGGCUCCUCCAAUGGUGCAUAAAGCUUUCUCCGUAAAGACUUAUCCGGUAUUAGCACAAGUUUCCUCGUGUUAUUCCAGGCCAAAGGGUAGAUACCCACAUGUUACUCACCCGUCUGCCACUAAGUAUUGCUACUUCGUUCGACUUGCAUGUGUUAGGCGUGCCGCCAGCGUACGUUCUGAGCCAGGAUCAAACUCU